UUUCUUCUGCCCGGCAAACACCUCCUCGGUGGUGGGAAACAAGUGUCCAGCUGGCCAUUACUGCCCUGCUUCCACAUCCUUUGCUUCUCAAUUCCCCUGCCCCAGAGGCACCUACAAGCCACAGAGAGGGGGUGCCCAGCAGUCAGACUGCACACCCUGUGAACCAGGUAAGGGGACAGGUACAUAUCCCCAAUCCUACCAUGUUAGGCCACAUCUUCCCUGACCAGUGAGGGCAGGACUCAGGCCUGUCUCAGAUGGGGAUGCUUUGGCCAUAGCCCAUGGUGCACACUAGGUCAGCCCACAUUCGCUGGCUGGGGUGGAGGUACCCCAAUCCCUCUGCUCCCCAUGCCUGAGCGUCCUGUCUUCCCCUCUCUCCUACAGGUUCCUACUGCCUCCUACCUGGGCUAGUGGCUGUGUCUGGGCCUUGUAGUGCAGGGUUCCACUGUACUCAGGCAGCAGCUGUCCCAAAUCCCACUGAUGGGAUCACAGGAGACCUCUGUCCAUCGGGCCACUUUUGUCCCAAGGGUAGCCCCAAGCCCACUCCAUGCCCCCCAGGUUCUGUUCCUUUGGGAUUCAGAGGCCAGGCGCCAGGCCUAUUUGGCCAAUGGACUGUCCUGCUGGCUACUAUUGCCCUUUGGGUACCUGGACCCCCACCCAGCACCCAUGUCCAAGGGGAACCUUCCGAGAGUGGCCUGGUGCACGCAGUGCUACGGAUUGUAGACCUUGUCCUGCAGGACAAUUCUGUUCAGAUUCAGGAUCCGGGAAACCCUUCCCAGAUGGGCCAUGCUCAGCAGGUUAUUACUGUCCUCCUGGCCAGACCUCAGCCACCCCUACAUCUUUCCGGUGUCCCCGUGGCUUCUACUGUCCAGAGGGAUCUCCCCAGCCAAGGGCCUGUGAGAAUGGAACAUUCCAGCCCCAGGAGGCCAAGGGGUCUUGUGAGCCCUGCCCUGCAGGAUUCUACUGUGAAGCAUCAGGCACAGGUCUCACAGCCGGUGGCCCCAGCCUGUGCCUCCAGGGCUACUUCUGUCCCCCUGGCUCCCACUCAGCCACUGCCCACCCAUGCCCUCGGGGGACAUUCGGGCCCAGGCGAGGGGCCAGUGCAGAACUGGACUGUGAGCUGUGCCCAGCAGGGAUGUUCUGCUCAUCAGAAGGGCUGUCCCAGCCAUCAGGGCUCUGCCACUCAGCCCACUACUGCACAGGAGGUGCGGUGUCUCCCACCCCCCUCAAACACAAGGUAUAUCUGCCUGGGAGGCAGUGCUGUGCCCUCACCUUCUGAUGGAACCCACGGAUACAGAUGUCCUCCUGGCUUCCACUGUCCCUCAGGGGCUCACAGCGAGCAGCCCUGUGAACCUGGCACCUUCAGCCCAUUGCCUGGGGCUGACACCUGCCUGCCUUGCCCAGGAGGCACCUACUGCCAAAAUGUUGCUACCGUGGAGCCCACCACCUGCCCCAAAGGUCACUAUUGCCCAGGAGGGACACCCUCUGCUCUUCCCUGCCCGGAGGGAACCCUGAACCUACGGGAAGGUGCUCUCUCCCCCAGGGCCUGUCAGCCCUGUCCUGCAGGAAGAUACUGCCCUGGUGAGGGCAACGGGCAGACUGAGGAUCGCUCAGCCAGUCACUACCCUGUGUACCAGAUGCAGCAUUUGUUCAACAGCAACCCCAACUGGGACUUUGGGGCCUUCAGGAGACUCAGCCACCUCGUGCGAGAGACUCACCUCAACUUUUCAAGGUUUGCCCACCAGUUCCUAGAUCCAGGCACAUAUGUGUUUCGAGACAACAGACUGCCUGAGAGCAUCAUUGUGGUGCUGGUGAAGAAGAAAGGAGUGGCCUGCGAUCCCGGCCUAUCCCCUGUGCAGCCCUCCUCCCCGUAUCAGCUUGUCAGGCAUGGGGUCCUCAGGCACGAGCUGCUAAACCUGGGCCCAGACUGGACAGUGAUCACAGGAGAACCACUCCCCUUGAAGACCCUGGAGGACUUCAGUGUCCGCACUCUCUAUGACAAGCUCGAGGACCAGAGCCUACACGUGGCCGCCCAGCUGAGCAAACACAGGAGCGAGGCACUGGCCUUCUAUAGGGGUGCCAGCCAGCAGCUCCAGGGGCUCAAGGACUUUCUCCAACACCUCAGCACAACUGAGUGGCAAGCUCUGGACAAGGGUGGAGACCCAGAGAUGGAGGCCACAGCUGCCACCAGGACAGACACUGAGCAGAGUGUGGAAUCAUGGGGCCACCACACUGCAAGUCUACCUAGGGAGCCCUGGCAGCAUCCUCUAGCUCUCAGCAGGACCUGGGACCUGGACAGCUUCCCCAGUGUGCUGCCAAAGGAGGAGGCACCGAGAGCCCAGGCUCUAGGUUGUGGAUCAUUGGGGCUGGACACAGGCAUGGAGCCUUUCCUGAGAUGCAGAGGAAGAUAUGGCAGGUGGAAAACACUUUGGAUGAACUGAAUGAGGAGUUCUUCCAGCUCACUGCUCAAGCCCUAGAACUUCAGAAGGAAAAGGACAAACCAGGUCAACUUCCCCCAAGUGAAGGCAAUACAUUUGUGGUAAGCCCAGCAGACUACCACCUCAGCUCCUGAGAUGUCCACAGAUAGCUGGGUCUCACGUGUGGGGCCCACAGAGUCACAGGACCCCAUAGAAAGGGUUGGGACCAGAAAGUCCACCAACCAAAGUUUGGUUUUGCCUGUUUGGUUUAGCACAUACUUCUAGAGACAGGGAGGACCUCUCAAUCAGCUUGGGCUUGCAGGUCUCUAAGUAAAUUGAUGGCUCGGAAAGACUGAGGAAGAGUAUGAAAAGGGAGCAAUAAAAAUAGCUGUUUAGAUGUAGCUAACUAGUAG
rnacentral:lncRNA from 1 species